AAUGAACGCUGGCGGCAUGCCUAACACAUGCAAGUCGAACGGCAGCACGGGUGGAUGUUUCUCUUGCCGUUGGCGGGUGGCGGGCGGGUUACAUAUGGAUAGGUAUCGUAUUUGGCGUGGGUGAUUUCGAAGCGGCAGUAAUACUACUAACGAAUAACGGCUACAGGUGGGAGCAGUUGGGGUUCGGCGCUUUAGCGUUGGAAGAAGGCGGAUUCGCAUUAUCUAGUUGGCUGGGUAAAGGCCUACCAAGGCCACGAUACGUAGCUGGUCUGAGAGGAGGAUCAGCCACACUGGAACUGAGACACGGUCCAGACUCCUACGGGAGGCAGCAGUGGGGAAUAUUGGACAAUGGGCGAAAGCCUGAUCCAGCAAUGCCGCGUGAGUGAAGAAGGCCUUCGGGUUGUAAAGCACUUUUAUUAGGAAAGAAAAGCUGUGGACUAAUACAGUCACGUUAUGACGGUACCGAAAGAAUAAGCACCGGCUAACUACGUG
rnacentral:rRNA from 1 species